AGGAAGAGGAGAUGUGCAGGGAAGCCAGGACUAAGGCAGGAUUUUUCAGGAGAUGGAGAAGAUUCUUCUCAUUUGCUUGAGGACUCGUGGAGUAAAGGGAAGGCGCUCAUCUGAGUUGCAUCUGCUCAUCUAUUCUUAGUGCAGAGAAGUCUCAAGGCCUUGUUGAAGACUGGUUUCCACAGGACAAAAGAUGACAGCAAGGAUGUCCUCUCCCGCUGAGAGGGCACGAAGAACAGUCUGCACUGUUGCUGGAUUCAGAAGCAGACUGCAAGAUCAUUAGGCUAACUCUGUCAUUGUCUAGAGGAAGAUUCUGAGACCCAGCCCAGGUGUGGGCUCACACAGACAAAGUACGCACUACACAGUCCUGGGACACAAUCUCCUGGCUUCUGGCUCGGUGAUCUUCCCCUGUCCAGAGUCCUGUGAUUCUCCGUGUCAAAGCAGAACACUGCUAGGCAAGAAUGCAAGACUGCACAGAUCCAGGCGAAGGCUUUCAUCUUUAUGUGCAAAGUACUGGCAGUGAAGAUUGUGAUGAAUCUCCGUUACAGAGCAUAGAUCACAUGUCUGCAAUUGUACUACUCUGCUGAACACUAUCAAUCCUAUCUCUGUUAGUUAUUUAAAAGAUAACCAUUUCAUGAUGUAUUACUUUAAAAUAUACUUAUUAAUAUUAUCUUUGUUCUAAGGGCAGCAUAGUGAGGUAAAAGCACUAUUCCAAAUCAUACACUUAAGUGAUGGAGUCAGGAUUUGAACUCGGGUCUGUCAAGCUUGAUGCUCUUCUAUAAUUACUUGUCUACCAUAUAUAUUAUCUACCCAAGAAAUGCUCAUUUCCUAAAUGGGCUUCACUGAACAAAGUUAACCAUCCUGAAAGGGAAAUUAAUCAUUGGCUUUGUCCUAGAAAUCCUCUUUUAGAGGGUAGAGAAAUCUAGUUUUGUUGGAAAAGUAGGUUGACAAUCUGGGACUAUUUCAGUGGGUGAAAACUGUGCAGGUUACUGGUAGAUAAAUGUAGUAGGAGUCUCAUUAUAAGCACACUGAAAUGUAUUUCCUCUGGUGAGGAGAUAAAAGGGUGACAAGUGAGAGGAAAAGGUAGGAUUUCUUUUUAUCUCAUUGUCUUUCUACUGUUGAAAUUAAAUCUUGACUAUUACUGUCAUAGAGAGGGAUCCUAUGGUAGAUGUCAAAGGGAAACAAAGAAGCUAUUUCUGAAUUUUUGAGAGUCCACACCUUACAGUAAUAAAAGGAAUGUAAGAAAAUA